GAUGAACGCUGGCGGCGUGCUUAACACAUGCAAGUCGAACGAUGAAGCCCAGCUUGCUGGGUGGAUUAGUGGCGAACGGGUGAGUAACACGUGAGUAACCUGCCCUUAACUCUGGGAUAAGCCUGGGAAACUGGGUCUAAUACCGGAUAGGAGCGCCUACCACAUGGUGGGUGUUGGAAAGAUUUAUCGGUUUUGGAUGGACUCGCGGCCUAUCAGCUUGUUGGUGAGGUAAUGGCUCACCAAGGCGACGACGGGUAGCCGGCCUGAGAGGGUGACCGGCCACACUGGGACUGAGACACGGCCCAGACUCCUACGGGAGGCAGCAGUGGUGAAUAUUGCACAAUGGGCGAAAGCCUGAUGCAGCGACGCCGCGUGAGGGAUGACGGCCUUCGGGUUGUAAACCUCUUUCAGUAGGGAAGAAGCGAAAGUGACGGUACCUGCAGAAGAAGCACCGGCUAACUACGUG
rnacentral:rRNA from 1 species